AUUUCCUAUUAUGUAGUUCAAUUCUCUUACAUAGAAUAGCUCCAUGUUAAGUUUGGUCUUGGGCACUGAUUUUUUAAAACGUUUUUGGAUGUCUUUCAUUGUAGGGAUCUUGCCACCAACAGAAUAUUUCUUUUGGACUAAAUUGGUUCUAAUGAAGUUUAAAAUUUUUUAAUAGUACCUUAAACUUACACCACCCAUGCAAGUCUGUCAUUAACCCCUGAGCCUGUGUUCUUUUUCUAUGUUGGGGCUUACACUUUAGCUAUAGAAUCCAAUGAUAAAUGGAGAAAGUGGCUUUGUGCGUUUAUUCCUCUUCUUUUUCUUGUUGCUUACUUUUUAUGUUCUGAGUAUGAUGGAUGGAAAGGUUCAUGCCAUCCACAUAUUUGCUUUCAAAUGUCAUUAGCUUCUUUACUUAGGCCCUUUACUGAUGAAAAGUUUAUAAUUUAGUUUCUGGUAUAAAUUAUUUUUGGUACAUUUUACAACUAAUUUGAAAAAUCUGAGGUUUUUGUUUUUGUCAGGGCAGGGGGACAAGAUAGACAGUGAUAGGUCCUCAUUACUAGAAAGUACAAAAAUAGGAGAUCCUUAGGGAAAAUAAAAGACUGGUUAAAGCUAAGUCAUGUGCUAUAGAACAAUGCUAGUCUGUGGAAAUAGUGUGCCAGCCACAUGUAGGAUCUUAAACUUUCUAGUAGGCACAUUAAAAAAGUAAGAGUAAACAUGUGAAAUGUAUUUAAAUAAUUUAUAUAUUUAACCCAAUAUAUCCAAAGUAGUACUAUUUCAACAAGUAGUCCAAUAACUGACUACUGGUUGAAAUGCUAAUGUAAUUUACAUUGUAUUCACAAUGUAAUUUAUAUUGACAAAUAGCCCAUGUAAAUAUUACUCGUGAGAUUUUUUUUUGUAAUAAGUCUUUGAAAUCUAUUGUAUAUUUUAUAUUUACAGCGCAUUUCAGUCACAUCUCAAGAGCUCACUAGGCGCAUGUGGCUAGUGAAUAGAAUAUUGGAUAUGGCAGCACUAGAAACUACAGAAUAGGGGACAAGUAGAAAGAAUGAAUACAAGUGCUGAUAUAAAAGCUGACAGAUGUAACUAGAGGCCUAACCUGGUGGUCAGCCCCUCUACUUGCUUAGAAAAGGAGGCUCACUUGUCAGGGCCAGCUAUGUAAUUUGUCGGGCCCAGUGCAAAGUGAAAGUGUAGGACUCUUUGAAAAGCAAUUGAACAAUGCUGUUAAAGGUACUAAGAUAUAAGACUUUGCUUUCUUUCAUGGUCUCUCUCGACUUAUCAUGGCAUUUUUACUUGUUAAUUAAUGAUUUCUAAGUGAAAAAAAUCCAAACUUUAAAUUACUAGCAUGAGUUUUGCUCUUCACCUUUAUAUUGUGAAAUGUCAAUUUCAAAUGUAAAUAUAAAAGCGUUUAACUUUUAUUUGGAAUCAUGAAAAUUAUACAACUGUAUUUCAUAGCUCAUCCAUGCAUGUAUUUUGGUUCCAUGCAAUGGAAACACUACAGAAGUCUAGCUCAACAUUUUUUAUUUCCCUUCUUGAUACAGGCACAUUUUACCAAUGCUCUCUACCUUCAGCUUAUGUGAGGAAGAACCAAAAUAUCCUUAUAUGUCAUUAUUUUCAGCUGAAGCUGUUGGCUAAUACAACAGGAGAAACAACAGGAGCAAGAAAGGAUAUGAGAGGGUCCCUUAGUCAUUCAUGUUUAUUAGAAUGCCAUUGCCUUCUUUUGUGUUCUAAGCAAGUUCUGGUUCAAACAGAAAACAGCCUCCUGAGACUGUCACUGCCCUCUGCUUACACAGUGGUAGACAUCACACACUUAUACUCACUUUGAGUAUGCUAAACAUUGUGGGUCCACUGGAAUUCUUAGUUCUUAGGAUAUUGUGCAUGAUAUAUACAAAUGGGGUAGCAAGAAUCCAUGGGCACACCUAUUGUGUAUAUCUCCUCUGCCCAUGCUAUCUCUAUUAUCCUGUCAAAAUUCACUUCCAAACAUGUUAUGAGAUAAAAUUAUUAUGAAUUUCAAGACAGUGAACAUUAAACCAAGUGAGAUGUCAUGCUGAGAGCAGGACUCAGUGCAGAUACACAAGUCACACACCCAUGAAGUCAGCCCUGUUAGUAGUAUUGUAU